rnacentral:rRNA from 1 species
GGGGGGGGGGGGGGGGGGGGGGGGGGGGGGGGGGGCGGGCGGGGGGGGCGGCUGUGCCGGGGGGGGGGCGGGUGCGCGGGUGGCGAACGGGGGAGGAGCGCGCGAGUGAUCUGCCCCCAACGUGGGUAUGCGCCGGGGAAACGGGGGCUGAUUCCCGAGAGGACUGCAGGGUGGUGCCUGUGGGGGAAAGCAAUUUGCUAAUGGAGGGGGAUGAGCUCGCGGCCUAUCAGCUUGUUGGUGGGGUCAUGGCCUACCAAGGCGGCGACGGGGAGCCGGCCUGAGAGGGUGGACGGCCACAUUGGGACUGCGAUACGGCCCAGACUCCUACGGGAGGCAGCAGUGGGGAAUAUUGCACACUGGGCGGAAGCCUGAUGCAGCGACGCCGCGUGGGGGAUGACGGCCUUCGGGUUGUAAACUCCUUUCGACCGCGAGGCAGCCACCUGGUUGGAAGGGUGGUGACGGUAGUGGUAGAAGAAGCACCGGCUAACUACGUG